UAGAUUUGUGGAAGAUCCCCAUGGCAGAGGCAGCUUCCUGUUUUCUUACGACACUGAGGUGCGAAAGCGUGGGUCACGCACCAGUAUUAGAUACCCGUGGUAGUCCACCCUGUAAACGAUGACAACUAGCUAGUGGUAGACGAAGAUCUUUUCAGUGGCAGCAGCUAACGCUAUAAGUUGUCCGUCUGGAGAGUACGCCCGCAAGUAUAAAUCUCAUAAUGAAGUCGCGGGGACGCGCACAAGCGGUAGCACAUGUUGUAUAUUUCGAUGCCACGCGAAACACCUUCCGUACUCUUGACAUUCUUAGAAGCUUUGAUAUAGAGAGUGUGCUUUUAGAGCCAAGAUACAGGUGCUGCAUGGCUGUCGUCAGCUCGUGUCGUGAGAUGUUGGGUUAAGUCCCAUAACGAGCGCAACCCUUAUCCUUAGUUGCCAGCAGUUCGGCUGGGAACUAUAAGGAGACUGCCGGUGACAAACCGGAGGAAGGUGAGGACGACGUCAAGUCAUCAUGCCCUUACGAGUAGGGCUACACACGUGUUCCAAUGGGGAAUACAGACGGACGCUAAAGCGUGAGGGGGAGCCAAUCCUAAAAAAUUUGUCGUAGUCCGGAUCGCAGUCUGCAACUCGACUGCAUGAAGUCGGAAUCGCUAGUAAUCGCGAAUCAGCAUGUCGCGGUGAAUACGUUCUCGGGUCUUGUACACACCGCCCGUCACACCAUGGGAGUGGGUUGCUCCAGAAGUAGGUAGUCUAACCUUCGGGAAGGCGAUCACCACGGAGUGAUUCAUGACUGGGGUGAAGUCGUAACAAGGUAA
rnacentral:rRNA from 1 species